GAUCCUGGCUUAGGAUGAACGCUGGCGGCGUGCUUAACACAUGCAAGUCGAACGGAACAGAAGUUUCGGAUUCUGUUAGUGGCGGACGGGUGAGUAACGCGUGGGUAACCUGCCUCAAACUGGGGGAUAACGGUUGGAAACGACCGCUAAUACCGCAUAAGCCCACAGUGCCGCAUGGCACAGAGGGAAAAGAUUUAUCGGUUUGAGAUGGACCCGCGUCUGAUUAGCCAGUUGGUGGGGUAACGGCCUACCAAAGCAACGAUCAGUAGCCGACCUGAGAGGGUGAUCGGCCACAUUGGGACUGAGACACGGCCCAAACUCCUACGGGAGGCAGCAGUGGGGAAUAUUGCGCAAUGGGGGAAACCCUGACGCCAGCAACGCCGCGUGAGUGAGGAAGUAUUUCGGUAUGUAAAGCUCUAUCAGCGGGGACGAAGAUGACGGUACCCGCAGAAGAAGUCCCGGCUAACUACGUGCCAGCCGCCGC
rnacentral:rRNA from 1 species